ACACACACACACUUACUUUUAAAGCCACUUGCCACAAAACUUCAGGGCUCUGCAUUAGUUUGGGGUGGGGGAACCUGGAGCCUCAGCGGGCACGAGAUCUUAGGCAGGGCACGCCAGGCUGCAACCUGACAGAGUGCUCCUAUGUAAUCCCCUCACCGCCUCGCACUGAACCGCUGCGGGUCCCCCAACCUCAUCCCUGAAAAGAAAGCUGAGCCCAGCCAAGGACCAGAAGGCCUUGCAGUUUCUCUCUCACACCAGCACCCCCAGGCACCAGACGUGCAUCAGAUCCGGGGCAGCAGCAGGAGAGCCAGAAGUGUUGGUCACUUGCUAUGCUGGCUAUGAAGGGAACAGGAAGUACCUGAGAGAUGGGAAGAGCUAUGUAGAGUGCUGGAUAAACAUUGCCUGCUUCAGCCUCCUGUGAAAUACUGUCUCCGUUUUACACACAGAUGGGGGAAACUGAGGCACCAAGUGAGUAAAGCAACAUACUCGAAGUCUUAGAGCAAGACAGCUGCAGAGCUGGGUACAGCCCCCAGGAGCCCUGAGCCCACUCCCUGGCUUUAAGCACCAGACCAAUGCUGCUGGUGGAGGUAUGGGAAGACUGCAUGAGAUAUUCAGCAAGAUGUGCAACUACCAAUGUACCUGAAGGUAUCUAUGAACAGUGCUGACAGCUUUGCAGAUGCCAGCCUGUUCUGCCUCUCUUGCCAACAAAAUCUGAAUCAAACUUUCAUUUUUCUUAAAAUAACUGGACAAAAUGUUCCCAAAAUAUGAAGGGUUUCCAUGGCAAUGCCUGUAUUUGCUAGUGGUAGGGUUGAAAUUGACCAGGUUACUUGCUACCUGUCCACGCAUCCAAACAUAAACUUUCUCUGAGUGGAAUAAUAUUAUGAGCCUGACUUCAGUAACUUCCUCUGUCCUGCUCCCAGAACCAGGUCCAAGAGAUCGGUGGUCUCAACUUAUUCUUUUAACAUCCACCCCACCCCGAUGGUGAGCAUCAGCAGAAAUAAUGUGGACUGAAUAUCUGCACUGCUAAUCCUUCUCUCUGGACCCAGCUGCCUCUGAUCAGAGGUCCAUGUGGGAGGCCUCUGGUGGGGCGGUGCUGAAGGCACUAUCUGUAGCUGCUGCCUUAAUGCCACAAGUGAUUAGCAGAAAAACAGAAGCAAACUUUUUCCAGAUUCCAGGGACAUAUCUACCGAAUGCUAGAGAACAGAUCUACUCAUUCAGACAUUCUUCAUCCGGAAUAUUUUCUUGUUGGACAACCGUAAGUCCCUUCCAAGUGGAUUAAAGAGACACCCUGGCCAGACAUUCCAGCUGCCUAUUGUCUCGAAGCACUGAGAAGGUGAAUCUGCACCUACCUCAAUGCAGACCAGAGCAUCUUAGGAGCUUCUCUAACAUGGACCAUCUGAGACACAGUCUCUAACGGACUAUACACCAGCUGGGAAUAGCUGCAGUUCAGCAUGUGUUGGCCACACCCUCUGCCUGAGCUCUAUGCCAGGGCUGAGUU